GAGAGACAGCAGCUCUUUAGUGAGCCAAGCUAUCACAAAUGUUGAUGUAGGGUGCAUGUGAGAUCUGCUUCCCUUGCUUUUAUUUCCUGCUGUAAAGAACUAAACACUGGAGAAAACAGCACCAUUUUCUUCCACUAUUUCGACUUCAGGACAAGCCUGAUUGCAAAGUCUUGCUUCCGCAAGCAGAAAUAAAAGUCUUGAAGACUAAUAAGACUUCCAUCAACAAUUCUCACCAGCUGUGCCACCAUUUUCCUUGAUGGUUAAGCUGCAAGUGACAUCUGAGCAUCUACGCAGCUUUUCAAGAAAUCGCUGACUCUGGGAAGAAAGAACAUUCUGUUGUGGGGUGUUCACCAGAAAAGACUUCUCAGACAUGGGUUUUAGCCAAAUAGAAAGUCCUUCUUAGCCAGCCAGUGACUACACUGUGUGUUCCAGAUCACUGGUGAGGCCCUGAGCCUUUCUCUGGGUUAGCUUUUAAGCACAAAAAUCAUGUGAGAUACUUCAAUUGACAAGAACAGUUAGCUAGAAGCAGAACUACAGAAGCCAGAAAACAAGGGUGAUACAUUUAGGGACUCCCAAAACUAUGGACUUUGAUGGAUUGAGGUUUUGUUUUAGUUUUGACAGGUAGUGCCACCUAUUACAGCCGGAAUGGCAUUUCAAUCAUGAAGUCAGUUGUGCUAAGGUCUCAGGGCCUGUUACAUACCAAAAUCACCUUCCACAGUACCAAAGGAUGUGUCCGUGUGAACAAAGCUCACCUGACAGGCGAUUGUGGGAUUCCAGAACAAAAGUGUGUAAAGAAUUCAUGUUUCUAUUUCAUUCUUCCUAUUUUCCAGAUGUUAUUCUUCUGACAGGAAAGAAAGGCUGUGUAAAAGGCUCCCUUUCUGAACUCCAGUAAUUGCUUUUAGUAAUCAUGAAACCAUCGUGAAUUCUAUGAAUGUUUCUUCUCUAAAAUUGUUAUAAUACCUUUUUUAUUCAUAAGUGUAAAACGUGGUAAUAGUCAAAAUGGUUUGUAUUCCUAACUUUAGGUCUUUUCACUUAUUAAUGAAAGCUAAUUUACAAAUAGCAAUUGAUGAUCUUGGACCUGUCAAGAAACUAGAGGAUCUCAAAAAAAAAAAAAAAAA
rnacentral:lncRNA from 1 species